rnacentral:rRNA from 1 species
AACGAACGCUGGCGGCAUGCCUAACACAUGCAAGUCGAACGAAGCCUUCGGGCUUAGUGGCGCACGGGUGCGUAACGCGUGGGAAUUUGCCCCUUGCUUCGGAAUAACAGAUAGAAAUGACUGCUAAUACAGGAUGAAGUCUUAGGACAAAAGAUUUAUCGGCAAGGGAUGAGCCCGCGUAGGUUUAGGUAGUUGGUGGGGUAAAGGCCUACCAAGCCGACGAUCCUUAGCUGGUCUGAGAGGAUGAUCAGCCACACUGGGACUGAGACACGGCCCAGACUCCUACGGGAGGCAGCAGUGGGGAAUAUUGGACAAUGGACGCAAGUCUGAUCCAGCAAUGCCGCGUGAGUGAUGAAGGCCUUAGGGUUGUAAAGCUCUUUUACCAGGGAUGAUAAUGACAGUACCUGGAGAAUAAGCUCCGGCUAACUCCGUG